CAACGCACUCAGCAUACUUGAAUACUUCGUGUCUGUUACUUGUGUUGAAAUGCAAUUGAACCUUCAAAACCAUUAGAGUUUUGUGCUGGUUUAGUUGUUUUAACCUUUAGGUUUGUGAUUGACGGUUACAGGGUAGUUUCUUUUAUGCUUAAUUGAAUAUUUCGUUUAAACAGUGGAGGGGGAUGCCUGGAACUUAACUGCUAAUGUGUGUCCAUUUUCAAAAGGGAGAAGUAGUAUCUAAUGAGUUAAUCAUUAAGGAGUAUGCACAGGGCCGGCCAUUUCAGGACAUGCAAGAGUUUCUGUGGAGCUGCUCCAGACAGGAAGGAGUGACUUGACAUCAAGCAUUUAAACUUUUUGAUUUAUGUUUCGAUUGGUGACAUUGAAAGGUAUAAAUUAUUUACAAAUAAGUUUGAGUAACCAGUUUCAUCUGUAAACAACCAGAUAUUUCAUCUAGGGACAGUUGUCUCUCAUUCUUUGAUAACUUUAAAAAGAACUCAAAGCAGGGCGUUUGCUGUAGGAAUGAAGGACUGACAGUUAAAGAGACGACGGGUCUCUAUUUCCCGGCUAUCUCCUAUGUUAGAAUCAGCUAAAGCUGCCAGGGACGUGCUGGUGAUCUCCUUUAAGUCAAUAAAUGAAAAGUUUUGUGGGGCUUUUUUAAUGGGGACAUUGAGUGAGACUUAUGAUUUAUAAUAUGCAGCAGGAAGAAGUUUCACUAAGAUUUUGAAGCUGGCAAGUGAUCCAGAUGUUGCCAAACUGCCUCAAUUUAUUUUUAUCUUAUUCUUACUUUAAGAGGUAAGAUUCUUUCCCACCCUAAUUCCUAUCUCCCACCCCUCUGCUUUUCACCACUACACUUUUGCAAGAGUCAUCCUUUGGGGAAAAAAAAUUGAGAGCCACACCCUUCGCUCCACCUGCCGACCCUGGAAAUCAAACGAAGUUCUACAAAGGACGUCCAUCUGGAAGGAGACGUCUCAGUUAUCCGUUUUACUUUAUUCCCCGCCAUUGGGCGGGGCAGGACUGGGCUUCCUUCCAGUCACCACGUCUUUCUCCACCUGCAGGUACUCCAGAGCGAUCCCCCUUCGUUGACUCCGAGGGGAUGCAGCAGCAAUUCAUGUUUUGAAGUGAUUUAAACGGUUCAAAACGUGAGGCGCUGCUAUACCCCCUCGCGGGGAAGUUGGAAGGUGGGGUUCUGCUGGACGUGUGCUCCUGCGAGGCGCCCGCUCCCAAGGCCAGCUCAGGAGCAGGAGGCCCGGUGGCACCCGGCGCCCAGCCCUCCGGGAGGACCACGCUCGCGCCAUCCGUCGCCCGCAGGACACAGGAACACUAUAUCAACACUCUUGGCCCGGAUCUGAACACAGAAGACUCCUGUUUCAAGAAAAUACAAUCAUCUCUCAAAGUCUGCAUUUUUAACUCACUAGGUAUUGAAAACCACCCAAGUGUCCCACAACAUGGGGUAAAACAGAAUCAAUCACUCAGUGUAAUAUUAUACAUCCUUUAAAAAUGUUAUUGGGGAAUGUUUUAUGAUCUGUAAGUCGAAAUAACCCUCUCCGGGCAUUUCUUUCUCCCUGCUGCUCCCCCAUACCCGCGCUUCUUUGUUCCAAUUGGCAUAUAAAGCUGUUUUUCCCUCCAAACAAGUCAGUCACGAUGGGAACGUCAAUUGAUUUGAACAGAUGUGUGUCAAUGUUACUUGGAAAACUAGAUGCCAGUAACCAGGGCCACAAAGAAAGGCAGUGGUUGCAACACUAUAAAAACGUAUGCGUGCAUACAGACAAGGACUAAAGUGGAACCCCAAGCAGGAAAAGAGUUGAAUACACUCCAGUGCUGGGAGACUGAAUGAUUGUAUGCUGCUUUUGAUUUCCAUUAAUACGGGCAACUGUCCAAUUAAAAAGACCUAAUAAGGACUCUGCAGUGCAAAUUAUUUUGCUGAUUGUUUUAAAACACCAUACCUAUCAAAGCAUCGAGGCCGACGGGGCAGCAGGGGACUGGGUUUGUUCCCCCAUCCAGCACUCUAGAGCUCAGGGCAACACUGGGAGAAAAAGUGAUCCUACACAGGUGGGAGUUCACUUCUAGGCAGGUUUCCUGAGAGACGGUGCAAGAUGAAAAUAAAAAUAGGUUCAAGAAGC
rnacentral:lncRNA from 1 species